CGAAUUGUGGCCACACACUCACACUCCACUCAGGUACUGCUUCAGCCACUCCAAUAUGCGUUUCUUCGUCGUCGCUUCGUUCGCUGUGUCAGCGCUGGUCGCCAUCGCUAGCGCAGAUGGUCACGGAGGUGGAUUUGGCGGUGGUG
rnacentral:lncRNA from 1 species